rnacentral:rRNA from 1 species
GGCGCACGGGUGAGUAACGCGUAGGUGAUAUACCUUUUAGUGGGGGACAACAUCGGGAAACCGGUGCUAAUACCGCAUAAGCUUGGUGACAUUGAAAAAACCAAGGAAAGGGGGCUUUCGGGCUCUCGCUAAGAGAAUGGCCUGCGUGACAUUAGCUUGAUGGUGGGGUAAUGGCCUACCAUGGCGAUGAUGUCUAGCUGGUCUGAGAGGAUGAUCAGUCACACUGGAACUGAGACACGGUCCAGACUCC